rnacentral:lncRNA from 1 species
GAGGCAAACACAAAGCCCUUCCCUCGCCUGCCUCCUCUUCCUCCGCCAACAGCGCCUCCCGGGCGGGGCAAGUCAUCCCGGCGCCGGUCCGCGGGGCUCGGGUCGCCCCCCUCUCCGAGACCUGCGGGGAGGGCCUGUGCGAGAUGAAGAAAGGACCUGCGGACUUCUGACCUUGCACUGGGGAAGAUACCCGUUAAGCCCUUUCAGGAUGGUGAGCAGGUGGAGUCUGAACUGAGAGAUGCUGGUGUGAAGGCACAAGCUGUAAUCUGUAGCAGACAGUGGAUAAAUGUGAGCUAAAUCAACAGCUAAAAGCAGGAAGUAUGAAUUUUCUUGAGAAGGAAGAGGGUUAACAUAAGGAAGUGCAAAAUUCCAGGUAUAAGCACUAAAGUCUUAUCAUGGGGCUAAGGGGUUGUCUUUUGAGGUC